CACUCAGCUUUCUGAAAUGGUGUCCCACCACAAGGACUGGAGAAGGGCUGGAGUCCAAUGGUGGGAUGUCUGCCUACUGCAACCUCUGCCUCCCAGGUUCAAGCGAUUCUCCUGUCUCAGCCUCCCGAGGAGAUGGGACUACAGGCACCCUUGGAAAUGCAAUGCUAUAUCUCAAUGGGAUUUUCCAGUACAGAGAUUCUUUUCAAUAACAUAAUUGUGGAUACACACCACUCCUGUAGUGGUAAACCUCAGGUUCUCCUCCUGCCUUUUGCUAAGUAUAUGUCUUGAUGACAAGCCUUCUGCUAAUGAGCUGUGUUUCUGGACCGAUCAUGGUAGAAGUCAAUUGAAGUGUCCCUCACUUGGGGUUUCUUAAGGCUGCACUGAUGAGGAAACUGAAACAGAAAAUCCAGAGUAAAUUCCACCAGGCCACACAGCAAGGUCUGAUAGAGCCAGGAGAGACUUUAUGAAAUCCAGACUCUCACACUAAUGCUCUAUCAGCUAGACCUCCAUGUGAGUCUCCCCAAUGUAGGUAGGAAGCACUUUCCCUAAAAUGCUCAUAAAGCAAAUCAGAGCAAUGCUUCAUUUCAUGUGAUUUCUAAUUUGAAAUGCAAACAAUUGCCAAUUUGUUUGACUUGUAUUUAUAAU
rnacentral:lncRNA from 1 species